rnacentral:lncRNA from 1 species
UUUUUUAAAAGAAGAAUUUUAUGCACACCGUCCUCUGAAGAGUGGAAGAGAGAACAGGUACACACACAGGAAUUCUUAUGCAUUGAUCAGUACUUUUUUUCUCCAGGUGCUAAUGAUUAUUUGGUUUGAAGGAUAAAGAGAUUUGUGGAGAAAGUUGGAGUCCAGAUAAAUAGAAAAAGUCAUAUACCAGAGUCCCAUAAAAAUGGCUCAAUGUUUCAACCAACUGCUACCAUACCCCCAGAGACCGACACCCUCUCUCCAAGUGUGCAAAGUGAAGGGCUGCUUGUCAGUUUUGGAACGCAUCUCUUCCUUUUGACCAUGGCUGUGACUGAGCUCCCAAGAACUUCCAUUUCAGAUAGAAGAAUGAAGACAAUUCCCAAGCCCAUUCUGGAAGAAUGAGAAACUCUCCCAAAGUUUUACCCUGAACUCCUUUUUCAACAAUACUCAGGAACCCACUAGCAUGGAUUCCAUGCUCUGCCCUCAGCGUGGGAGCUGGUGUGAAAAGAAGAACUAACUUUUAAAGGCAGAGAUGGAUUUGGGUUUGAAUUCCAGCCUUGCCACUUUCUAGCUUCAGCUUCUUCAUCUAUAAUAUGGAAUUAAUAAGACAAACCUACUUCACUGGGUUUUUAUGAGGAUGGAGUUAGUUAUUUCCUAUAAAAUGCCUGGUAUACGGAAACACCCAUAAACGAUGUUGUCAUGAUUCAUACAAGUCAGCAGUCUAGUAAAGUAGUCUAUUCUUAUUCUCUUUCUUGCUUUUUUUCUCUAAGAUGUCUGCCAUUUUCAAAUUUGCCCUGUAACUACAUAUUUUCUUUCAAAUUCCCUUUCCUGAGGUUUAUGGUGACAUGCAUCCUAAUUCACUGUUAGAUAGUCAAUUUUCUAGUUAUUUUUAAAUGUAGAAAAAAAAAGAAAAAAUAUUAGAAUGUUCUACUAACUCACGGUUCUUACUUCCUUAAAAGCACUGGUGGAGGUCAUUAAGACCAUUACCUCAGAGUGCUCAGACAUUACUAAAACAAAUUACUCUGGGUCAGUAUAAGGAGAGCCUUAACACUCAUUCCAGUAGAGGAGGUUAGGAGGCCCCCUGAGAAGAAGUGAAAGAAUGGACCUCUUGUUGGCUCACACAUGACAAUAUUUAGAAAUGGUUUGUUUUUCUAUUAUGACCAGAUGGCUCCCAGCCACAUAUAAAAACACUCCAAACUACACUGAUUUGCUUGACAAGUGUCCUACAGCAUGCAGUUAACCUAGACUGAAGGGUAUGUGUCUAUCUGGGGGUAAACCUUAUUCAAAGUUUGUAUUGUCUGCUGAUGAGAGCUCUUCCUUGAGAGUAUUAAAAUACCAGUGUUAGAAGGAAAAGCACUUAGUUGAGCCAGAAGUUGUAUUUUCACUCCACUACUUCCUGGUGAGGGGGCGUGAGUAAACUGUUUUAGUUUCUAGGUCUCCAUUUCUUCAUUUGUGAAGCAGAGAUUAUAACACUGUAACUCACAGAGUUCUGAUAAGAUUUAAGGGAAUAUUAUGAAAGACUCUGGAAUGGAGCCAGAUGCCUAGUAAGCACUCAACAGAUAUUAGGUAAAGUGUCAGCUGCCAGUAGGUCAACUUGGACAUGUGUCUUCAAAUUUUAUAUCCAAAUUUCAAGAUGGAACAUAAUGGAAUAGAAAAAAGUUUUACACUUGCUGCCAAGGAAAAAACUAAAUUGAACUUGCUACUGGCUGGGUGGCUCUGAACAAAUUUCUCACCUUUUCUGAGUCUUAUUUUUUUUUUAAUUUUUGUAGGU